rnacentral:misc_RNA from 1 species
AAAGUCGUAACAAGGUUUCCGUAGGUGAACCUGCGGAAGGAUCAUUACAGAGUUCAUGCCCCUCGGGGUAGACCUCCCACCCUUUGUAUACAUUGCCUUUGUUGCUUUGGCGGGCCGCCGCGCCCGCGUCCACCGGCUUCGGCUGGUGUGCGCCCGCCAGAGAACCCCCAAACCCUGUUUUACAGUGUCGUCCGAGUACUAUAUAAUAGUUAAAACUUUCAACAACGGAUCUCUUGGUUCUG